rnacentral:rRNA from 1 species
UACGUAGGGUGCAAGCGUUGUCCGGAAUUAUUGGGCGUAAAGAGCUCGUAGGCGGUCUGUCGCGUCGGCUGUGAAAACUCGGGGCUCAACCCCGAGCCUGCAGUCGAUACGGGCAGACUAGAGUGCUGUAGGGGAGACUGGAAUUCCCGGUGUAGCGGUGAAAUGCGCAGAUAUCGGGAGGAACACCCGUAGCGAAGGCGGCACUCGUGGGCCGGAACUGGACGCUGAGGAGCGAAAGCGUGGGGAGCAAACAGGGAU